rnacentral:rRNA from 1 species
CCUACGGUGCGCAGCAGUCGAGAAUCAUUCACAAUGGGGGAAACCCUGAUGGUGCGACGCCGCGUGGGGGAAUGAAGGUCUUCGGAUUGUAAACCCCUGUCAUGUGGGAGCAAAUUAAAAAGACAGUACCACAAGAGGAAGAGACGGCUAACUCUGUGCCAGCAGCCGCGGUAAUACAGAGGUCUCAAGCGUUGUUCGGAAUCACGGGGCGUAAAGCGUGCGUAGGCUGUUUCGUAAGUCGUGUGUGAAAGGCGCGGGCUCAACCCGCGGACGGCACAUGAUACUGCGAGACUAGAGUAAUGGAGGGGGAACCGGAAUUCUCGGUGUAGCAGUGAAAUGCGUAGAUAUCUGGAGGAACAUCAGUGGCGAAGGCGACCUGCUAGAACAUAACUGACGCUGAUGCGCGAAAGCGUGGGGAGCAAACAGGAUUAGAUACCCGGGUAGUC